GCCACCUUAGCUCAGCUGGUAGAGCAACUGAUUUGUAAUCAGUAGGUCGCCAGUUCGAUUCUGGCAGGUGGCU
rnacentral:tRNA from 7 species